rnacentral:rRNA from 1 species
UUAAGCGACUAAGCGUACACGGUGGAUGCCCUGGCAGUCAGAGGCGAUGAAGGACGUGCUAAUCUGCGAAAAGCGUCGGUAAGGUGAUAUGAACCGUUAUAACCGGCGAUGUCCGAAUGGGGAAACCCAGUGUGAUUCGUCACACUAUCGUUAACUGAAUACAUAGGUUAACGAGGCGAACCGGGGGAACUGAAACAUCUAAGUACCCCGAGGAAAAGAAAUCAACCGAGAUUCCCCCAGUAGCGGCGAGCGAACGGGGAGCAGCCCAGAGUCUGAAUCAGCUUGUGUGUUAGUGGAACGGUCUGGAAAGUCCGACGGUACAGGGUGAUAGUCCCGUACACCAAAAUGCACAGGCUGUGAACUCGAAGAGUAGGGCGGGACACGUGGUAUCCUGUCUGAAUAUGGGGGGACCAUCCUCCAAGGCUAAAUACUCCUGACUGACCGAUAGUGAACCAGUACCGUGAGGGAAAGGCGAAAAGAACCCCGGCGAGGGGAGUGAAAAAGAACCUGAAACCGUGUACGUACAAGCAGUGGGAGCACCUUCGGGUGUGACUGCGUACCUUUUGUAUAAUGGGUCAGCGACUUAUAUUCUGUAGCAAGGUUAACCGUAUAGGGGAGCCGCAGGGAAACCGAGUCUUAACUGGGCGUUAAGUUGCAGGGUAUAGACCCGAAACCCGGUGAUCUAGCCAUGGGCAGGUUGAAGGUUGGGUAACACUAACUGGAGGACCGAACCGACUAAUGUUGAAAAAUUAGCGGAUGACUUGUGGCUGGGGGUGAAAGGCCAAUCAAACCGGGAGAUAGCUGGUUCUCCCCGAAAGCUAUUUAGGUAGCGCCUCGUGAAUUCAUCUUCGGGGGUAGAGCACUGUUUCGGCUAGGGGGUCAUCCCGACUUACCAACCCGAUGCAAACUACGAAUACCGAAGAAUGUUAUCACGGGAGACACACGGCGGGUGCUAACGUCCGUCGUGAAGAGGGAAACAACCCAGACCGCCAGCUAAGGUCCCAAAGUCAUGGUUAAGUGGGAAACGAUGUGGGAAGGCACAGACAGCCAGGAUGUUGGCUUAGAAGCAGCCAUCAUUUAAAGAAAGCGUAAUAGCUCACUGGUCGAGUCGGCCUGCGCGGAAGAUGUAACGGGGCUAAACCAUGCACCGAAGCUGCGGCAGCGACACUAUGUGUUGUUGGGUAGGGGAGCGUUCUGUAAGCCUGCGAAGGUGACCUGUGAGGGUUGCUGGAGGUAUCAGAAGUGCGAAUGCUGACAUAAGUAACGAUAAAGCGGGUGAAAAGCCCGCUCGCCGGAAGACCAAGGGUUCCUGUCCAACGUUAAUCGGGGCAGGGUGAGUCGACCCCUAAGGCGAGGCCGAAAGGCGUAGUCGAUGGGAAACAGGUUAAUAUUCCUGUACUUGGUGUUACUGCGAAGGGGGGACGGAGAAGGCUAUGUUAGCCGGGCGACGGUUGUCCCGGUUUAAGCAUGUAGGCUGGUUGUCCAGGCAAAUCCGGAUAAUCAAGGCUGAGGUGUGAUGACGAGGCACUACGGUGCUGAAGUAACAAAUGCCCUGCUUCCAGGAAAAGCCUCUAAGCAUCAGGUAACAUCAAAUCGUACCCCAAACCGACACAGGUGGUCAGGUAGAGAAUACCAAGGCGCUUGAGAGAACUCGGGUGAAGGAACUAGGCAAAAUGGUGCCGUAACUUCGGGAGAAGGCACGCUGGUGUGUAGGUGAAGCCCCUGCGGGUGGAGCUGAGACCAGUCGAAGAUACCAGCUGGCUGCAACUGUUUAUUAAAAACACAGCACUGUGCAAACACGAAAGUGGACGUAUACGGUGUGACGCCUGCCCGGUGCCGGAAGGUUAAUUGAUGGGGUUAUCCGUAAGGAGAAGCUCUUGAUCGAAGCCCCGGUAAACGGCGGCCGUAACUAUAACGGUCCUAAGGUAGCGAAAUUCCUUGUCGGGUAAGUUCCGACCUGCACGAAUGGCGUAAUGAUGGCCAGGCUGUCUCCACCCGAGACUCAGUGAAAUUGAACUCGCUGUGAAGAUGCAGUGUACCCGCGGCAAGACGGAAAGACCCCGUGAACCUUUACUAUAGCUUGACACUGAACAUUGAGCCUUGAUGUGUAGGAUAGGUGGGAGGCUUUGAAGCGUGGACGCCAGUCUGCGUGGAGCCAACCUUGAAAUACCACCCUUUAAUGUUUGAUGUUCUAACGUUGGCCCCUUAUCGGGGUUGCGGACAGUGUCUGGUGGGUAGUUUGACUGGGGCGGUCUCCUCCCAAAGCGUAACGGAGGAGCACGAAGGUUAGCUAAUCCUGGUCGGACAUCAGGAGGUUAGUGCAAUGGCAUAAGCUAGCUUGACUGCGAGCGUGACGGCGCGAGCAGGUGCGAAAGCAGGUCAUAGUGAUCCGGUGGUUCUGAAUGGAAGGGCCAUCGCUCAACGGAUAAAAGGUACUCCGGGGAUAACAGGCUGAUACCGCCCAAGAGUUCAUAUCGACGGCGGUGUUUGGCACCUCGAUGUCGGCUCAUCACAUCCUGGGGCUGAAGUAGGUCCCAAGGGUAUGGCUGUUCGCCAUUUAAAGUGGUACGCGAGCUGGGUUUAGAACGUCGUGAGACAGUUCGGUCCCUAUCUGCCGUGGGCGCUGGAGAAUUGAGGGGGGCUGCUCCUAGUACGAGAGGACCGGAGUGGACGCAUCACUGGUGUUCGGGUUGUCAUGCCAAUGGCACUGCCCGGUAGCUAAAUGCGGAAGAGAUAAGUGCUGAAAGCAUCUAAGCACGAAACUUGCCCCGAGAUGAGUUCUCCCUGAGACUUUAAGUCUCCUGAAGGAACGUUAAAGACGAUGACGUUGAUAGGCCGGGUGUGUAAGCGCAGCGAUGCGUUGAGCUAACCGGUACUAAUGAACCGUGAGGCUUAACCUU